rnacentral:rRNA from 1 species
UGGGGAAUAUUGCACAAUGGGCGCAAGCCUGAUGCAGCCAUGCCGCGUGUAUGAAGAAGGCCUUCGGGUUGUAAAGCACUUUCAGCGGGGAGGAAGGCGGUGAGGUUAAUAACCUCAUCGAUUGACGUUACCCGCAGAAGAAGCACCGGCUAACUCCGUGCCAGCAGCCGCGGUAAUACGGAGGGUGCAAGCGUUAAUCGGAAUUACUGGGCGUAAAGCGCACGCAGGCGGUCUGUCAAGUCGGAUGUGAAAUCCCCGGGCUCAACCUGGGAACUGCAUCUGAUACUGGCAAGCUUGAGUCUCGUAGAGGGGGGUAGAAUUCCAGGUGUAGCGGUGAAAUGCGUAGAGAUCUGGAGGAAUACCGGUGGCGAAGGCGGCCCCCUGGACGAAGACUGACGCUCAGGUGCGAAAGCGUGGGGAGCAAACAGG